UAUAAAUUCUGUUAUUGUUUCAUACUUUCUAAACUUUCAACUUUUAAGUCGUUUAACUUUGCCAUCAAGGUAUUUAAAAAAUUACUGUGGAACGGAAAGUAAUUAACAAAUAUAUAAACUUAUUUAGAUUUAUUUUUAUGAGAGCGCAAAAAUAAUAUGUAUAUAUUUAUAUUAUAUUAUAUCUAACAUACUAUAUCAUUGUCAACAUCAUACUGCCUAAUAUCUAAAAUCCAAACUUUUCCUUACUAAACUGCUUAUUUCAACUCUCACCACCUUAACAAGUCUACUAAAUACGUCGUUAAAAAAGAAGCAAUUCAAAUUUAACUAUUUUCUAUAAGAAGAAACCUAGAGCAUUUUUCUUUAAAAAAAAAUGUGAAAAUUUAUAAUUUAACGGAAUAGAAAAAAGUUAUGUGAAAUUCUUCUAUCUUCUGUUAAUCGUGAUUCUAAAAAAUAAAGUGAGAACUCUGGUGACCAGAGCUAUAACAGGCAUAUGAAAUGUUAAAACUCGUUAAUCAGGAAAAAAUCAAAGAUCAAAAGAAAAAAAUCAAAGAUUAAAAACGAUUCUAAAAGAAAUGUUAAAAUUGAAAAAAAUAAAAGACAUGCAGAAUAUGCAUACUUACAUGAUUCGAAAAGACCUUGGAUAUUUAGGUAGAAGACAAAUACAAACUUCUUACGAAAUAAGUUUCUUGGCAACUGAAAAAAAGUUAAUAAAAUUACUAAAGAUCUUUUGUCUACAUUAAAGAUACCUAAAACACUUAAAGAAAAAGUUGAUCAAUAUUAUAAGAGUUGAAAGAUCCUGAUAUUGUUUAAUAGUGGUUUUUGAAUAAUUAAAAUCCUAAGAAAUCUUA